rnacentral:rRNA from 1 species
AACGAACGCUGGCGGCAUGCCUAACACAUGCAAGUCGAACGGGAUCCUGACUUCGGUCAGGUGAGAGUGGCGGACGGGUGAGUAACGCGUGGGAACCUGCCCAGUGGUGGGGAUAACUGCGGGAAACUGCAGCUAAUACCGCAUGAGCCCGAGAGGGGAAAGAUUUAUCGCCAUUGGAGGGGCCCGCGUUCGAUUAGGUAGUUGGUGAGGUAACGGCUCACCAAGCCUUCGAUCGAUAGCUGGUCUGAGAGGAUGAUCAGCCACACUGGGACUGAGAUACGGCCCAGACUCCUACGGGAGGCAGCAGUGGGGAAUAUUGGACAAUGGGGGGCAACCCUGAUCCAGCAAUGCCGCGUGAGUGAUGAAGG